AAAGACCUUUAAAUUGGAUUUAGGACACACCGCGCCGCCGCCAUCCCCGGGACCGAGAUUCGAUUAAUAUCCGCGAGACCGUUUCGACCGUCACGGUCGUAGGUAAGAAAUGUAUUUUGGACUGAAUGUGGAUUCUUGUGAUCGUGGGGAGGGAGGCCGUAAAAAAAAAAAAACUUUUUCGAAUAUAAUUAUGUUACAUUCGGACACAGGGAUUAUUUUUUGAUUGUUACUAAUGUUUGCAAUCUAAAUUAAAAUAUGAAAAAUGACCAGUUCAG